rnacentral:rRNA from 1 species
AGUGAACGCUGGCGGUAGGCCUAACACAUGCAAGCCGAACGGCAGCACAGUAAGAGCUUGCUCUUACGGGUGGCGAGUGGCGGACGGGUGAGGAAUACAUCGGAAUCUACUUUUUCGUGGGGGAUAACGUAGGGAAACUUACGCUAAUACCGCAUACGACCUACGGGUGAAAGCAGGGGAUCUUCGGACCUUGCGCGAUUGAAUGAGCCGAUGUCGGAUUAGCUAGUUGGCGGGGUAAAGGCCCACCAAGGCGACGAUCCGUAGCUGGUCUGAGAGGAUGAUCAGCCACACUGGAACUGAGACACGGUCCAGACUCCUACGGGAGGCAGCAGUGGGGAAUAUUGGACAAUGGGCGCAAGCCUGAUCCAGCCAUACCGCGUGGGUGAAGAAGGCCUUCGGGUUGUAAAGCCCUUUUGUCGGGAAAGAAAAGCAGCAGGUUAAUACCCCGCUGUUCUGACGGUACCCAAAGAAUAAGCACCGGCUAACUUCGUG